UACGUAGGUGUCAAGCGUUAUCCGGAUUUACUGGGUGUAAAGGGCGUGUAGGCGGUUUUGCAAGUCAGAUGUGAAAUCUCCGGGCUUAACCCGGAAACUGCAUCUGAAACUGCAGAACUUGAGUACUGGAGAGGAUAGUGGAAUUCCUAGUGUAGCGGUGAAAUGCGUAGAUAUUAGGGGGAAUACCAGUGGCGAAGGCGACUUUCUGGACUUAUACUGACGCUGAGGAACGAAAGCGUGGGGAGCAAACAGGAUUAGAUACCCUGGUAGUCCCU
rnacentral:rRNA from 1 species